rnacentral:rRNA from 1 species
GAUGAACGCUGGCGGCGUGCCUAAUACAUGCAAGUCGAGCGAACGGACGAGAAGCUUGCUUCUCUGAUGUUAGCGGCGGACGGGUGAGUAACACGUGGAUAACCUACCUAUAAGACUGGGAUAACUUCGGGAAACCGGAGCUAAUACCGGAUAAUAUUUUGAACCGCAUGGUUCAAAAGUGAUAGACGGUCUUGCUGUCACUUAUAGAUGGAUCCGCGCUGCAUUAGCUAGUUGGUAAGGUAACGGCUUACCAAGGCAACGAUGCAUAGCCGACCUGAUAGGGUGAUGAGCCACACUCGAACUGAGACACGGUCCAGGCUCGUACGGGAGGCAGCAGUAGGGAAUCGUGCGAGAUGGGCGAAAGCCUGACGGAGCAACGCCGCGUGAGUGAUGAAGGUCUUCGGAUCGUAAAACUCUGUUAUUAGGGAAGAACAUAUGUGUAAGUAACUGUGCACAUCUUGACGGUACCUAAUCAGAAAGCCACGGCUAACUACGUG